ensembl:lncRNA
GGGUUGGGUUUGGGGCGAGUCAGAGGCAAGUUAAAUACACAUAAUACAUAAUACAUAAUUAUUAAUAAGAAUUAUUGUGGUAAUAAUGAGACUUAUUCAUGUUUCUUUUUUAUUUAUUUUUAUUAUAACAAAUUUAUAUUACAUAAAAGGAAACACUGUGGUGCAUGUGGAACAUGCAACAAGAAAUUUCAUGUACAGGAAACACCUUCAUGUUAAACACUAAGUACAGUACUUCAUGUAUAUAACAUUAAGGUGUUUCUUACAUUCAGAAUUAUAAUUGUAAGUAGCAGACUGCUAUAAGUACCCCUCUGGAGGGAGUGAUAAAGUUUGAAAUCGCGGGUGUGCCCCUUUGUGCCUCCACAGCGCGAUUGUGCUGUUGAGAUUUAUUGUGCUGUGGUACGUCUUUUUUCCCAACGUGUCCGAUACUGAAAUCAGUGCGACAUACUUAGCAAAAAGCGUGGGAAUUGUUGAUGCAGCUUCGUGAUAAGAAGUUAAAUUCCUCCGUCCAGCUGUUGUUAUAUUUGCAGCUAUAUUUAGUUUUUUCGCCGUAGCAUCACCUGAGCUUUCUAAUGCCAGUUUUAGUGACGCUUGAUUCAAAUUCCCCCGUCUACCUGCGCAGAUAUCAACUGUGCAACAGAGCUGUAGGUUGCCAGGUUGAGGUCACAAAUGGGAUCAAAAUUGUAUGAUGUAUCUAUUGUGUGAGUAGGAUUCGUUUCAUACAAUAUUUGGCAGCUGGACAAUAAUGUAUUUAUGUGAUUAUUCAUAUUACGAGAUAGGGCCAUACAAAUUACUACGGGAGUUUUCCCGGGAGAAAUAACAAAACGGGAGGGGGGCGGGAGAUGGUUGUGAAAUACGGGAGACUCCCGGGAAAAACGGGAGUGUUGACAGGUAUGCUACCAGGCCAUAAGGAGACUGGUGGGGAACUGCCCAGCACUGAGGGGACGGACGAGGAUUCAGCUGUUUGAGGUCAAUCAGCAGAUGCUUUCUGUCUGGUACAACAACUACAGGAAGAAGAUGGAGGCAGAUGUGCUGGCUCUGAGUGUUCCCUUGCCUCAGAUCAGCAUGGUGUCUCACACUCAGCUUCCUGUCGCCAGGCAGAUGACAUCAAUGCCCUCUGCACCUGGGUCUUCGCUUAAACCUUUCCCCUACGUUGCAAAUCCUGAUCUGUCAGGUCAGGCCACACGACGUGGGCAGCGACCUCCUCCUCCUGCAUCAGCACCCGCUCUCUCUGCUCAACAGCCAGCGUCUCUCUCUGCUCCGCCGGCAGCAUCCCUCUCUGCUCCACCUCUGCCUACAUAAAGGACAUAUGAAGUGUCCUAAAUAAUUAUUACUACUAAAUAAUUAACUUUAUGUCUGUUCUUUAUUUGAGGACAUUUGUUUGCCAUCAUAGAGUUCAUGCAAACUGUCUUUAAAAUAUUUAUUCUUUAUUUUAGAACAUUUAAUGACUGUUCUUUUGUUUGAGAACAUUUAUUUGCCCUCUUAAAGGUUACAUUAAUAGAUCACAACCAUAUUUCAGGUUUAUCUGCCUUCAUUAAGGCCAUGUUAAUUGUCUUACAUGAUGGUUCUUUAUUUUAGAAUGUUUAUCUGCCUUCAUGUCAUUGUCUUAACCAUUUCUUUUAUUUGUGUAGCUUUUUUAAUUAUUCAUUAGCAUUCCAAUGUUCCUGUUUUCUAAAUAAAUUAUAUACACUUUUUA